rnacentral:lncRNA from 1 species
AUGAGGAAACUGUAUGAACACUCUCCUAAGAUAAGACAGUAGUUGUGAUACACAAGGAUUUGAACAUAGCCAAUCCUACUCAGGUAAAAAGUCAAUUAACCACUGGUGGGCAAUAUCCAAAAUUGAUAGCAGAAACAGAAAAAUAAAAGACUACUCAGCAAAGACAAGUAGAGUUUCUGGAGGCUGGGAUGUCCAAGGUCAAGAUGCUGACAGAUUGAUUGUCCCUGGAAAGCCUGCUUCAUAGAUGACCAUCUUCUCCGUGUGUUCUCCCUGUGUUCUCAGGAGUGGGGUUACCUUUCUGGUGCCUCUUUUUCAUAAGGACACUAUUCCCGUUCCUGAGGGCUCCAUUCUCAUAACACAACAUCCAGAAGGUCCUACAUUCUAAUAUCAUCAUACUGCAGAUUGGCAUGGUGUGGAUGGAAGUGAAGAAAAAUGUUCCAGGUUGCUUGUGCAAGACUUUCAAAGUGAAAAAAAUUUGGCCUUUUCUUUGGAGAAGAAAAAGUGUUAUGUCUGCCUCGAAUACAGAUAUUCCUAUUUAUAUGAAAAUAAAUAACAGGGAACUUAACCUUCUACUUGUCAUAAUCUACUGAGUACAUCCAUUGCCAGGGAAUUGUACAGCACAUUUUAUGGUGUUUCAGCUUUGAAGCUAUGGGACAAUAAUAACACGAAGGCUGGCCACUUUGUUUCAUGCCUCCUUGACCCGUGUGUUCCAU